rfam:Tribolium castaneum strain Georgia GA2 linkage group LG6, whole genome shotgun sequence.
AUCGCUUCUCGGCCUUAUGGCUAAGAUCAAAGUGUAGUAUCUGUUCUUAUCAGCUUAAUAUCUGAUACGCCCCGCAUGCGGGGCCAGUAUAUUAAACUGAUUUUUGGAAAUUGACGGAGGCUAGGGGCUUGCUCCACCUCCGUCGCGGGUUGGCCCGGCAUUGCAGUACAGUCGGGAUCGGCCCACCUAAU